UUUGUGAUGCUAAUAUGGUCUUGUCAAUGUUUAGGGGCAAAGGCCUGAUUAUGCAGAUGCUUGGUGUAAGCUUAUGCUUGUACAACUUUUGCUAUUGGCCUCCACCCCUAAAUCUUGGCAAGACCUAAUUAGCCCACAAC
rfam:Physcomitrella patens subsp. patens PHYPAscaffold_234 genomic scaffold, whole genome shotgun sequence.